UACGUAGGGUGCAAGCGUUGUCCGGAAUUAUUGGGCGUAAAGAGCUCGUAGGCGGUCUGUCGCGUCGGCUGUGAAAACCCGGGGCUCAACCCGGGCCUGCAGUCGAUACGGGCAGACUAGAGUGCGGUAGGGGAGACUGGAAUUCCUGGUGUAGCGGUGGAAUGCGCAGAUAUCAGGAGGAACACCGAUGGCGAAGGCAGGUCUCUGGGCCAUUACUGACACUGAGAAGCGAAAGCAUGGGGAGCGAACAGG
rnacentral:rRNA from 1 species